AAAAUGCCCAAACCUCACCCACUGUAACAUAGUUAAUGUUGUAUAGAAUUCCACUUGUCAUUACUUCCAAGUUUGGGUUCAUGUGUAAUGGGUGAAACAGCACCCCCUCCUGGUGGUUGGCAGUGUUAAAUUUACUGAACACAGAUAUCUCGUUGCCAGUUUAUGAGAGAUGAGCGCGAGGUAGGUUCACUGAGUUUAACACUCUGGUAAAAUGUUAUGUUAGCUUGAUGCUAACAUGAAAUGCUAUUCCUCGUAAGGUGCUGUACCCGCUGUGAUGAACCUGAUUCCUGAUCAGUCGUUAUUCUGUUCCAUACAGGUACAUAUUGUUUUAUUUCUUUGUAUUUCUGUCUAAUAUUAAUGUAUUAAAUACGGCCGUUGGCCAGUUUAUGAGAGAUGAGCGCGAGGUGCUGUACCCGCUGUGAUGAACCUGAUUCCUGAUCAGUCGUUAUUCUGUUCCAUACAGAUAAAAAUCAUUUCAUCUCA